rnacentral:rRNA from 1 species
CCUACGGGAGGCAGCAGUAGGGAAUAUUGCUCAAUGGGGGCAACCCUGAAGCAGCAACGCCGCGUGGAGGAUGAAGGUUUUCGGAUUGUAAACUCCUUUUGUUAGAGAAGAUAAUGACGGUAUCUAACGAAUAAGCACCGGCUAACUCCGUGCCAGCAGCCGCGGUAAUACGGAGGGUGCAAGCGUUACUCGGAAUCACUGGGCGUAAAGAGGGCGUAGGCGGGAUAGCAAGUCAGAUGUGAAAUCCUAUGGCUUAACCAUAGAACUGCAGUUGAAACUGUUAUUCUAGAGUAUGGGAGAGGUAGGUGGAAUUCGUGGUGUAGGGGUAAAAUCCGUAGAGAUCAAGAGGAAUACUCAUUGCGAAGGCGACCUGCUAGAACAUAACUGACGCUGAUGCGCGAAAGCGUGGGGAGCAAACAGGAUUAGAUACCCUUGUAGUC